UUCAUAAUGCAGGUUUCCUAUCGUGAUUCACAGCAAGCUGCCAACCAGUCAAACCAAAACAAUACAUUUGAAACAUUUAUCACAUUAUGCAUGAUCAAAUGAAUUCCCAUCCUGAACGGAAAAGGUUUUAUUGUGACAGUUGUUACAGAGCUAUGAGUGAACCUCAUACAACAUCAUCAGUAACUCAUCACUUACAGUAUCUAACUAGUGUUUCAAGGACAGCUGUUGUCUGGCGACAGGUGCUUGCUGAACUGUGCAUACACUGCACCAACAA